AGGGGUAUAGCUCAGUGGUAGAGCAUUUGCCUGGCAUGCAAGAGGCCCUGAGUUCAGUUACCAGCACCACAA
rnacentral:tRNA from 1 species